AUUGAACGCUGGCGGCAGGCUUAACACAUGCAAGUCGAGCGGAGCGAGGGUGCUUGCACCUUAGCUUAGCGGCGGACGGGUGAGUAAUGCUUAGGAAUCUGCCUAUUAGUGGGGGACAACAUUCCGAAAGGGAUGCUAAUACCGCAUACGCCCUACGGGGGAAAGCAGGGGAUCACUUGUGACCUUGCGCUAAUAGAUGAGCCUAAGUCGGAUUAGCUAGUUGGUGGGGUAAAGGCCUACCAAGGCGACGAUCUGUAGCGGGUCUGAGAGGAUGAUCCGCCACACUGGGACUGAGACACGGCCCAGACUCCUACGGGAGGCAGCAGUGGGGAAUAUUGGACAAUGGGGGGAACCCUGAUCCAGCCUUGCCGCGUGUGUGAAGAAGGCCUUUUGGUUGUAAAGCACUUUAAGCGA
rnacentral:rRNA from 1 species